GGCUCGUUUGUCUUGAGGUAUGAUUCUCGCUUCGGGUGCGAGAGGUCCCGGGUUCAAUUCCCGGACGAGCCC
rnacentral:tRNA from 1 species